rnacentral:rRNA from 1 species
UACGGGGGGGGCAAGCGUUGUUCGGAAUUACUGGGCGUAAAGGGCUCGUAGGCGGCCAACUAAGUCAGACGUGAAAUCCCUCAGCUUAACUGGGGAACUGCGUCUGAUACUGGAUGGCUUGGAUUCGGGAGAGGAAUGCGGAAUUCCAGGUGUAGCGGUGAAAUGCGUAGAUAUCUGGAGGAAGACCAGUGGCGAAGGCGGGUCUCUGGACAGUUCCUGACGCUGAGGCACGAAGGCCAGGGGAGCAAACGGG